AGGGAGGCUUCCUUCGAGGGCAUCAGCAAGUUCAAAGUCAACAACACCAUUCUUCACCCAGAGAUCGUUGAGUGCCGAGUGUUUAAGACGGACAUAGAGCUGGAGGUUCUGCACUACACCAGUAAAAUCUCCAGUGAGGCCCACUGUGAGAUAUUAUUUCAUCCAUUGAUGAUGGAAAAAAAGGAUUUAGCUGAGCAUGGUGGUGCACGCAUGUAGUCCCAGCUGCUUAGGAGGCUGAGGCAGAAAGAUCACGUGAGCCCAGGAGUUCGAGGCUGCAGUGAGCUAUGAUUGCACCACGGCACUUCAGCCUGAAUGC
rnacentral:lncRNA from 1 species